rnacentral:lncRNA from 1 species
AAUAACACCAAGUGGUAAAUGACACCACUAUGGUGUAGAGCAAAACCCCUACUUCUAUCACACAAAAAACACAUGCCCUUGGGCUCCACCUAUUCCAUGGAAACCAAGAUCAAACUUGCAACAAAUCUGAAUAUGUCCACUCCAUAAAGUUUCCCAAUGGAAAAACUAACUUCACCACUGGAUUCCUUGGGAGUUUCUACCCUAAAAUCAUAUAUAAAAUGUGGGCAUCUACUUGGAACAAGUGACCACAAACUAAGGGAGAGGGAACUACUCCAAAUCAUGCCUAGGGAAUGGGCAUCAUUUCAUGUAGUUCCUACUAAAAUAACAACUACAAAGGUUGAGCUCAUGUGCACAAUGACAAAGUGACAUGGGGGUUUGAACCCCAUGUUUGUGUCAAGCACAUCAACUUCACAACCCCUACUAUUAAGCUUCUCACACAAAUAUCAUGUCAUGCCCUCUCACAUAUGGACAUGUGGAGGUGCAAGGCUUGCUUGCCAAGGUGGGAUGCUACUCAAACACACACCUAGUCCACAUCACCCACAAGCUCAACAUACUCAAUAUCAACACCACACACUUACACAUGUUAUCUUAGCAACCAACUAGAACAAGGUCAACUCCAUUUACAAACACACAACAUAGUGCAUCAACAAAUGAUAGUACCUACAACAAAGAAGAACCUACACAAGCUACCACUUCACUUGCUAGCUUCACCUAGGAUAAACUACUAGGAAGCACCACCAUGCACACACAACAUGUAAAGCUAACUCCAUAUUUGUAUGGCCUCACACAUACAUGCAACUCUCACAAGCCAUCCACACACACUACAUCACCUAACAUAGUUAUAACAGCAAAGAAAAAUAAUAGAAACAAGAUGACAUGGCCACCUAUGGUUGUAACAGAAUCAACAAUAGCAAAGAGGAAAUAAAAUUGCAGCACAGAGAAAAAAAACAAAAGGAGGCUCCCUGGGGUUCGAACCCAGAAUCUACUGGUACCACAAACCUCCCCUCACCACUCUGCUACUGUCAACUAGUCGACAGGACAGAGAGUUCAGGCAAGGUAGCCUCUCUACAGGACACUGUGCCGAGGAAAACAAGUGCAAAAAGGUGCCGAGGGGGGGAUCGAACCCAGCACCUCGCAACAGGCACACAGAUCACAAACCACUGGGCUACGCUACGGUGUCUGAACUAACAUGCGCAACAAACGAACUGAAGGAGGUUCCCCUGCUGAUCUAAUACCGGCGGCAAACCGAAACAGGGGAAGGCCCUCGCCGGCGACAUGGUGCAAAUCGAGCAACGGCUCGUGGAUGGAAGGAUGCAGAGGCACCCACUGUUCCAUUUCCUAUGCUAAGCCUGCUCGAGAAGCACCACGGCUACCUAUCUACGGUGCGCGGCGACGCCGACGACAGGGAGUAUCUCGGCGUCCAACUACGCGAUCCCUAUGCCAGAUCGAAGACAGGGAAGGGGGAAGGAUGAUCUGCUCACCCCACAGCCGAAGGACACGAGCCGACCGGAGAGGAAGCAGAGGACGGCGAGGAAGGAGCCGCGUCGGAGGAGCUUGCUGGAGCGAAAGGAGACGUCGAUGAAGUAGGGGAAGAAGAGGUGGACGCCGCGAUCUAGCUGCAGGAAUGGAUCCCCACGAGUUCCCGAGAGCGCAAACCGAUGCAACUAAUGCAAUGGCAAGAACACACAAAGUGGUCAAGUCCCUCCCACUCAAAUCCCUCCACAACAACGAAAGCUAUGGAGAAAUAUGAGAGGAAGAACAAGGAGCUCACAAAGAACUCCAAGAUCAAGAUCCAAGGGGUUCCCCUCACAUAGAGGAGAAACUGAUUGGUGGAGAUGUGGAUCUAGAUCUCCUCUCUCUUUUCCCUCAAGAACAAGCAAGAAUCAUUGGAGGGAUUCAGAGUAAGCAAGCUCUAAGAAUGUCAACAAUGGAGGUAGAACAAGAGCUCAACGGAUAGAUAAGACCAAGGGGGAAGAAGACCCCCUAUAUAGAGUGGGGGGAAAAUCCAACCGUUUUCCCACUCUCUGCCCAAGCUCCAGCGGUACUACCGCUGGCUGCAGCGGUACUACCGUUGGCAUUCCAGCGGUACUACCGCUGACCAGGGGCGGUACUACCGCUGGUUGCAGCGGUACUACCGCUGGCCCCAGCGGUACUACCGCUCGGCCCCUGGUAGUGCAAAGGCACUACCACCGCCAAGAAAGUCUUCGCAAAAAUGUCCGACACAGUACAACUGCAAAGAUGACGGUACUAAAAACUUGGAGCGGUACUACUGCUCGCCAGGGGCAGUACUACCGCUGGGACAGCGGUACUACCGCCAGCUCUAGCGGUACUACCGCUAGGGCCAGCGGUACUACCGCCAACUCUAGCGGUACUACCGCUCGCCACAGAAACAACCAUAACUUCCGCAUACGAGCUCCGAAUCNNNNNNNNNNNNNNNNNNNNNNNNNNNNNNNNNNNNNNNNNNNNNNNNNNNNNNNNNNNNNNNNNNNNNNNNNNNNNNNNNNNNNNNNNNNNNNNNNNNNNNNNNNNNNNNNNNNNNNAUGGAGAUAUAUGCUCUAACAAUCUCCCCCAUUUUGGUAAUUGAUGACAACUACUUCAAGAGAGUUUAUAUAAGGAAAUAAGCAUAUCCAACCGCACACAUACAAAACAAUAAUGCAUGCGUGCAAGAUGUAAAUGCUUACACAAUAAAAGCAAACCCCUCUAAACAUAUCCAAAGUAAACUCUCUAAACUUCUCCCGCAUUGGCAUCGAUUGCCAAAAUGGAAGAAAAGUUUAGGAAGCCGAUAUAUUUGGUGGUCCUCCAAAAAGUGUGUACUUCUCAGCAAAUGAGUGCAAAGAAAUACACAAAUACAAUGAUAAGUAGUUGGAGGAAAACAAACUAUAUUGAGGACCCAAAGAUUGCAAAUAAAAGAAUCGCGUGCCACAAGGACAUACCAAAAUAGAGGCAAGCAAUCAAAAGAUACCGGAUGGAACAAACAAUCAUAUGGUCCUUCGAACCACAUGAAUAAAAGAUAUUAUGAUAAAAGCAACGGAGUGUUUUAUCAAAACUAGAGAAGCUCCCCAUGAUUUGUGCACUUAUAAGAGAUUUUUGUAUAUGAUACAAGUGCACAAAAUAGGAUCGUUGCUCCCCCAAAAUUAAUAAAAACACACAACGGGUGCAAGAAGAAAGAUGAGACAAUAAGCAAAUCUCUUGCACAAAACAAGUGGUUGAGCAACAUGUAAAAGAAGCAACUUAAGAUUAGGCUCAACCAAAAUAAUGUGUGUGAGUCAUGGCAAGGCACUUGAGAAGACUAAGAUAAGGAUGAACAUUACUCAUCAACAUAGUCUUGAUGAAAUGAGACACAAAGUGCAAGACAUAUCAUUCCCACACACACAUACUAGAAAAUGGGUUCACAAGCUUACUAAUAAACAAAAUAAGAACCAGCGUUUGUGACAACCCAUGGUGAAGAAAGGAAAUAAGAACCUUGUUAAGAGAGGAGGGAUACCGAUCGAAAUGGCAAAACCCUCAUCAAGACAGGCAUGAGGAAAAAUAAUCUUCACGGGCAAAGAGUGCAUCAAGAUGUAGGAAAAUAAGAUACGCACUCAAGACAAAUCCUUUCACGAAGCCACCAAAAACUGAAAAAGGAAAUGCAACGGUGGACGUAAAAGAAAAGAGGAUAUCAAUUAGAGAUGUAACUUCUCUCAUGUGUAAAAGAUUCUAAGUAGAAGACAAUCAUGAUGAUAUAUAUCCACAAAGAAGAAUGUACACACGAAAUGGUUACAAGAAGGAACAAACUAGAUAUCCAAACGGAAGUCAUAAAUAUAUCAAUAAGAUCUUUUGCUUGGAAGCAUAGCACAUGGCCUAAUAUUUUCUUAUUGUACAAUAUGAACUUCCAGCAUAUGAACAUCAAAGACAUCCCAACUAGUAAUAAGACAUCAUCGUUAGGAUGCUUUGAGAAAGGAAACAAGUACUACAAGAAUGAAUCAAGAGAUUCAUGCCAUGAUGCAACCUGCAAAGAAAAGACAGGGGCCUUUGCAAGAAAAGAAUGCAUGAAGUAGAUACUUGUUACCGAGACAACAUUGGAUUGAUGUAGUAGAUAGUUGUUCUUUGAUCAUCCUAACUUGGCUCCAAUAAUCACAUGGUCUCAACACCUUCCUUAUAGGUGAGCCGAGCAUCCAAUGCAUCUCCAAUUGUUCCUGGAACAACAAAACAAACAAAAUGAUGCCCAAACUCAUUGGGACCUAAGAGUUAGAAAACCAACAAUACAUAGGACAAACUCCACAUACAUAUGUGCAUAUAGAUAUGAAUUUGAAUUUCAUACACACGUUAGCCAUUUUAUGAGAAGGUGGAGUUUCCCCUAUAUAUUGGGUCAAAGAAAGAAAGCAUGCCAAAGGAAAUACAUAUAGUAAAUAUGCAUGCUCAAGGCUUUCAAGAAUCCAAUCAACAUAUAGUUGAUAAUAUACCAAAAGACAAGGUAUCAAGUGAUAAUAAGAUAGCAAAUGAAAAACUAUCACUUGAGGGAUAUAAAUUAAAAUAUACAACAAGGCAUGAGAUAUCCAUUGACACAUGCCAAACAAAAAGGAAACAAGAUACCAAUUGAAGGAAAACAGACACGAGGUAUCUAGUUUCCAAAACAGAGCUAGGUUCCAACAAACCAAACCCUCGACAAAUUUUCAUGAUGGCACAAAGCAUCAUAAAGAGCAAGACUUGCCUCCCAUCAACAUACGCUUGAUGGGGAUCAAAAGAUUUUAUGAUGGGCGAAUAAAAAGAGUGUUCUAAAGAAAAUAGGAUAGCUCCCCCAAGGGUUGUGCAUUAUAUAGAAUUUGUAUUUAAAUACAAAAUGCACAAGAUGGGAUCAUCACUUUCUCUAUAUCUAUAAAAACACUAGACAAGUUAAAAUAGAUCCACAAGAGGCAAGGAAGACAAACGAAACACAAAAUCCAAUGUAAAGACGAUUAGCAAUUCCUACCACAUGAUGGGAAUACCAAUUGUCAAGGAAAAGAAGUAUUUUGGAAAUGAUACUCAUUGGUAGAUCGCAAAUAUAUCCAAGAUCAUCUUUACCCAUAAAACGCAAGCAAAUGACACUUGUAGAGCAAACAUGCCACCUAGUAACAAGAUAAUUUACAAUAUCAACACUAAGUGGCAAUACCUCAAAUGUACACAUUCUCUAGGCUUGUAAUAUGCACAUAGCAUAUUACUCCCCCAUAAUGUGAUAACCGAACAAUAUUAACAAGUGGCAAAUGAAAAACCAACAAGAGACAAUUAAUGGACCAUUUACAAUUUGAAUUUCUCAUGAGUACGAGAUACCACAUAGAAGCUAGAUAAUCUUGAAAUAUCAAUACUAAGUGGUAUUCCCCAUGUAUACAUAUUUAUAGGAUCGUGAGGUGUGCAAAGCACAUCACUCCCCCAUAAUGAAAUAAUCCAUUAAUCUCUCACAAGAGCCAAUCAAAGGUACAAACAAGAUGCAAGGAGGCUCAAUACAAGACUCACAUGUACAUGAUAUGCAAACUAACAUACACAUAUUCGCUUACUCAAGAUAAGCAAGUUGGAAGCACAACAUAUACAAAUACAUGCAAGGUACAAAACCACAAUAUGCAAAAGGGGCAAGCAACUAACAAUGUAAAUAGUUUAAGUACAAGUUACCGUAAGGAGGCACAUUGGAUAUAAGAUAGAAACUUGAUAAUCCAAAUGACUUGGCUUGAGAUAAUAUGAAUGAUGAAGACCCCUUAAUUCUUCAUUAUGUAUCCAAGUCUCUAAUGUCCUCCAAAUUCACCUAUUGAUCAAGUUUGAGCUUGUUGGUCCCCAACCACGUUGGGUCCUAAGAGGUUAGUCACAAUAGGCUUGGCAACCCAAAUGGUACUUUUCUUGACACCACUUUGAGUACCAACAAACUUGGCAAACACAUUGCCAACCUUAUCCUUCCCAAGAGAAUAGAUAUCAUCAAUAAUGAUUGGGUUGGAUAAAUUACCUCUCGUGCAAGAAGAAGCGAAGUGACCCUUCUCACGACAUAAGUAGCAACAUCUACCCUUUAAUUUCUUCUCUAUUGAUUUCUCAACAUGAGGAGUGUUGGCUUGGGUCUUCUUGGGAAGGGGCCUUUCUUCAACUUGUAGUUGAGUAUGUGAGUGCACUUGUGUCCUCUUCCCUUGUUGCUUGUGACUUUGGGGCUUCUUCUUUAAUGGGCAAGAUCUAACAUGGUGCCCUUCAAUUUUGCACUUGAAGCAAAUAAUCUUGGCCAAAUUCUAGACUUGUUCUUGGCCCUUCUUCUUGAAGCUUUUGGACUUCUUCUUCUUGUUGGAGUUGAAUCCAAGUCCAUUCUUAUCAUUCGGGAUUUUUGUCCACACAAGACAUUGUUGAGUGUGGACAUCCCUUCAUGCCUCUUUUCCAAGUCUUUCUUCAAGGAAGUGACUUGGGCCUUGAGCUCUUUGAUUUCCUCUACAUGGUUAGUAUCAACACAAGUACUAGAGGAAGUAUAAGCUUCAUUGUUAGAGCAACAAGGCAUGGAAAGUAAUUCAUCACAAGAUGUAGCAACAUUAUGAGUAGAUGAAUUACAAGGACUAGCACAUGGCAAUAUAGCUUUUUGACUAGAAAUAGUGCUAAUGUCCACAUGAGGCUCACUCGAUGUUACCUUGGUAGUAAUAGCCUCAUGAGCUAAUUUUAGCACAUUAUGGGAUGCUAGAAGAUCAUCAUGAGAGUUUGUGAGCAUUACAUGACUUUCUUCCAAUUUCCCAAAAUUGCUAGAUAGCAACUCAAGUUGAUCCCUUAGCUCAACAUUCUCCUUUAAAAUGGAUGCUUCACAAGAAGUAGAGUUAGCAGCACAAGCAUCAUCAUUAGAAAUAAGAGGAGAGGGCACCUUGGCAAGCUCUUUAGCAUAUGAAGCUUCAAGUUGAGCAUGAGACUCGGUGAGUUCGAUGAGCGAGAUCUUAAUAGCCCUUGAGCCAUUUUCGAGGUGCUCAUAGUCCUCAAGGAGUUUAGCAUGUGCAACUUCAAGCUUAUCAUUUUUAGUUCUAAAAUCAUUAGCCACCUCAAGAGCUCUAUCAUAGGAUCCCUUUAAUCUAGAUAAUUCUAGAGCAAAGGUUUCCUUAAGAGAUUCCUUGGUGGUUUGUUCAUUAUCAAGAGCUUGAGAUAGCUCUGCGAUCUCAUUAGCGUAAUCACGCUCAUGACCUUCCAUGGUCUCAAUGGUGGCCUCAUGCUCCUCAAGAUGAGCUUCCAACUCCUCAAUGUAUUUCUUGCCCUCAGUGGCAAUAGACAUGAUUUCCAAGAAGUUGGAAUGAGCAAGUUUAUUCUUAUAAAGAGAUUUAAAAAUCAUUUCACCCUUAAUUUUUAAGGAUGCAAUAUUAUCACUCUCUUUAUCAUUAUACUCAUCCCCAUUAUCAUCAACAUCAUCAUCAUGAGAUAUAUUGGAAUUCAAAGUAGGAGAUACCUUUGAAGCCUUAGCCAUAAGGCAAAAGUGAGUCAUAAUAGAUGAUGAUGUAGGAUCCCUUGAAGCAUCAUUCAAGGCCACAUCUUGUUCCAUGGAGUGAUGAAUUUCCUCUACAUUGUUAGCACAACAACUCGAGGAAAUAUAUACAUUUUUAUCAUGGCAACAAGAUAUAGGAGGCAUAUCAUCAUGAGAUUUAGACACGCAGUUUUUACAUGAUAUGCACGGACUAGCAACACAAGCAUGUGACACAUUUAGAGUGCUCGAAGUGUUAACGCCCAAAGAUGAAGCAUUGCAAUAAUAUAGUGAUGAAGGAUCAUCAACAAUAAACCCACUUUCAUUAUUGCAAUGGUCACCACUACUCACCAUAUCAUUACCUUGUGGCAAUCCACAUGUAGGUGAAGUAGAUGAAGUUGAGAAGACCACACGACCGGAGGUGGAGGGAGAACAAUCAUCCCUACAAAUCUUGGACACACCAUAUUUAUCUUGAAGCUUUGUCCACAACUCAUGAGCAUCCCGGAAUGGCAUGAGUUGAAAUAUAACUACAUUUCUCAAAGCAUCAAAAAGCACAUUAGAAGCUUGAGCAUUGAGAUAAGAGUUUUUCUCAUCCUCUAAGGAUAUAUUUUGAGAAUCCUUUGGAGGAGAAAAACCCAUAUCUACAAUUCGCUCUAAAUUUGGGUCCAAGACCCGAAAGUGAUUAAGCAUGCGAAUUACCCAAACAUCAAAAUUUGUGCCAUCGAAACUAAGAGUGUCAGUGGAUCCUAAACCCCUAGUCGACAUCCUUACUCUCUAGGUGGUUAAACCUAAUAAAGAGAGACCUAGCUCUGAUACCAAUUGAAAGGAUGUGGAUGUCGCCUAGAGGGGGUGGUGAAUAGGCGAUUUAAAAUAAUUAAGGUUUAGGCUUGAACAAAUGCGGAAUAAAACUAACGUUUAAUAUGUCAAGCACAAAACCUACAAACAACUAGGCUCACCUAUGUGCACCAACAACUUAUGCUAAGCAAGAUAAAAAACUAAGUGAUAGCAAGAUAUAUUACAAUAAACAAUAUGUCUAUCACAAAGUAAAGUGCAUAAGUAAAGGGUUAGGGUAAGAGAUAACUGAGGCACGGGGAGACGAUGAUGUAUCCCGAAGUUCACACCCUUGCGGAUGCUAAUCUCCGUUAGAGCGGUGUGGAGGCACAAUGCUCCCCAAGAUGCCACUAAGGCCACCAUAAUCUCCUCACGCCCUCGCACAAUGCAAGAUGCCGUGAUUCCACUAAGGGACCCUUGAGGGCGGUCACCGAACCCGUACAAAUGGCAAACCUUGGGGGCGGUCACCGAACCCGUACACGUGGCAACCCUUGGGGGCGGUAACCGGUACCCGUACAAAUUUCUCGGGGCAAUCUCACAACCUAAUUGGAGACCCCGACACUUGCCCGGAGCUUCACACCACAAUGAUUGAGCUCGGAGACACCACCAAGCUUCUAGGACGCCAAAGCAUCCGCGAAGAACAAUAUCUAGGGUACUAAGUACCAAAGGUAAUAAGCUUCUCAAACUUCACUUCCAUGUAUCACCGUGGAGAACUCAAACCGAUGCAACUAAUGCAAUGGCAAGAACACAGAAAGUGGUCAAGUCCCUCACACUCAAAUCCCUCCACAANNNNNNNNNNNNNNNNNNNNNNNNNNNNNNNNNNNNNNNNNNNNNNNNNNNNNNNNNNNNNNNNNNNNNNNNNNNNNNNNNNNNNNNNNNNNNNNNNNNNNNNNNNNNNNNNNNNNNNNNNNNNNNNNNNNNNNNNNNNNNNNNNNNNNNNNNNNNNNNNNNNNNNNNNNNNNNNNNNNNNNNNNNNNNNNNNNNNNNNNNNNNNNNNNNNNNNNNNNNNNNNNNNNNNNNNNNNNNNNNNNNNNNNNNNNNNNNNNNNNNNNNNNNNNNNNNNNNNNNNNNNNNNNNNNNNNNNNNNNNNNNNNNNNNNNNNNNNNNNNNNNNNNNNNNNNNNNNNNNNNNNNNNNNNNNNNNNNNNNNNNNNNNNNNNNNNNNNNNNNNNNNNNNNNNNNNNNNNNNNNNNNNNNNNNNNNNNNNNNNNNNNNAAGAAUCAUUGGAGGGAUUGAGAGUAAGCAAGCUCUAAGAAUGUCAACAAUGGAGGUAGAACAAGAGCUCAACGGAUAGAUAAGACCAAGGGGGAAGAAGACCCCCUUUAUAUAGUGGGGGGGGGGGGAAAUCCAACCGUUUUCCCACUCUCUGCCCGAGCUCCAGCGGUACUACCGCUGGCUGCAGCGGUACUACCGCUGACCAGGGGCGGUACUACCGCUGGUUGCAGCGGUACUACCACUGGCACUCCAGCGGUACUAUCGAUGGGCCCCUGGUAGUGCAAAGGCACUACCACCGCCAAGAAAGUCUUCGCAAAAAUGUCCGACGGAGUACAACCGCAAAGAUGAAGGUACUAAAAACUUGGAGCGGUACUACCGCUGGCCAGGGGCGGUACUACCGCUGGGACAGCGUUACUACCGCCAGCUCUAGCGGUACUACCGCCAGCUCUAGCGGUACUACCGCUAGGGCCAGCGGUACUACCGCUCGCCACAGAAACAGCCAUAACUUUCGCAUACGAGCUCCGAAUCNAUGGAGAUAUAUGCUCUAAAAGUGGAAGAAUGAGCUGAAUACGUUUGUUGACAAAGAAAUUACACCAGAAUUCACCGGCCGGUUUGACAAGAUCGCAGAUCACUGGCCCGCAUGUGUGGCCCACAAGACAUCGGAAAAGAGUAAGAAGAUGUCAGGGGCAAACAAGAAAAAUGUUGCAAAGAAGAAGCAUCACCAUCGCACGGGGUCAGGUGGCUACCUCAAAGCCCGACCUUUGUGGGACAAGGCUGAGAAUGACCUGAUUGCUAAAGGGGUCGAACCAGAGACAUUGAACUAGCCAGACCAUUGCCGGACUUGCUUCUUCGGGGUUGGCGGAACCUUGGACCCUGUAUCAGGGAAGUGCGUUUGGACGGAAGAGCAACUGCGAAUAUCCAUCACGAGGCUUAAGGAGUAUAUCGAGAAAGCGCGGCAAGGGAUGUUCGUUCCAGACAGAGAGAAGGACGAGCUCACGAUGGCCCUCAGGAAUCCUGAGCACCGUGGAUGGACACGAGGCACGCCAGGCUCCGUUCCGUGGAAGGUUGGGUUUCCGGGCGCACGGGGUUACAAAUGCCAGGAGAGGAGGAAGAAAGUGGAGCAUAGCCAACUACAGACGCUGCACGAAAGGGUACAAGGGCUAGAGGAACGAGAAGCAGAUCGCAGCAAACGACCUGCCAAAGCUUCCCUUGAAGCUACCCCGCCAUCUCAGCGGAGAAGCAGCGUGGCUUCCACUGAGCAGACUCAGCAGCUGGAGCCUGUCUUCACGGCUCCUGCUAGCUACCCCGUGGAUGCUAUCACAGAGUCUCAACAUUGCCACCUUAUGGCGCGAUGGAUGACAUUGAAAGUCAAGGCGGUUGUUGGAGCUGUUUUACCUACUGAACCUGGCACAACCUACCACGGCCGGUCGAUUCCAGAAGGAUAUGCUAGGGUGAUGGUGGAUCAAAUAACGGACGGAUUUGAGGACCUUCAGCUUGACCACCCUACGGGUGAAGGGGAGAUUCGGCUGGGUUCUUCUCUGAAGACUUCAUGCCUAUGGCGGAAGGAGCUGAUCAACCUUCUGAACUGGACGCCUCCGCCUCCUCCUCCAACUCCGGCGAGUCAGGGCACUCCGCCUCCUCCUCCGCCUCCUCCUCCGGCAAGUGAUCAAGGCACUCAGUCUCCUUCUCCGGCGCGUGGCGUCACUCCGCCUCCUUUUCCGCCUGCGCCGGCGCGCCCGAGCAGCCAUCCUCCUCCUUCUCCGCCUCGUCAACAAGGGCGGAAGAGACCCGCCGCCACUCCGGCUGCUCCGGCGCGUCGUCCUUCUCCUCCGCCUCGUAAGAAAGGAAAGACAGGCGCAGCCGCUUCAUCUGCUCCGGCGUCUAGUAGUACAGUCAGAGGCAGGCAAUACAAAUACGGUCCUUCUCUGAAGACUCUAGAGAAGUUACCAUACGAGAGGAGCCAGGAGGAAAACACGAAGAUCGUGCAAGCUGAAGUGAACAACUUCUUUGAAGGGGUGAAAGCAAAGAAACAUCCACCUCUAGAGGAGAAGAUAGAUCCGGUAAAAACGAAGCGUACUCUGGCUGCCGUGAAGAAACCACCAAAGUCUGUGGAGAAAGGCAACUAUGAGCGCAUUAUUACAAAGUCGUUUAUUGAAGCAGAGCGGUCGGGAAGUACUGUCAGUGGUCAAAGGUUGCCCAGCUCGGCGAACAAGCGAACCAAUCGUUCCCCCCGCUCAAGGUGUCUAGCGAUAUCAUCGCUAAUCAUCCGGGGAUCUUGUUGCCCGGUACCAAUCCUGCAGAUUACGUGCCCGACGAUGCACAUUUUGAUUUCUUGGAGCUGGACGAAGACAAAUACGUGUACGGGAAGCCUCUCGUCAAAGAUGAAAGAUCUCUAACAAUGAUGAUGCGAAGAUUCCAUGAUUGGUACAUGAAAACCUGCAGAAAGUUUGAGGGGAGUAAUAUUUUGACGCUGAGAGUUAGAGAGGAGCAUGACUUCGUUGGAAUUGAACUGUUGAAUGUUCCAUUUGAGGAGUUCUUCCCGUUUUUCAAUCUAAAGGCCCUCGAUAAAUUAAUGAUCACUUGCUACUGCGUGUAAGUAGUACUACUUCUGUCAUUAAGUCUCUAUAUAUAGAUCAGCUCUUUCAUUGCAUGUAUUUUUAAUUAUCCUCACUAUAUUAUGCAGAUUGAAGAUCGUCUAAUUGAAGAAAAGAAAAAUCGGUGAUAUUGGGUUCAUUAACACAAAUCUCAUAGAUGCAUUUAUGGUUGAAUUUCAGGCCAAAGAUACCGAGGCCAACUUGCUACAAUCGUUUGUAUUGAAUCAAAACAAAGUUAUAAUACUCUUCCCUUACGAAUUCCAGUGAGUGUUACUGUCUUGUGCAUAUUCGGUUUCCCUUAUUAGUCAAGGUUAUAGCAAUGUAAUUGAUGAGUUAUGCAUGCGUGCGCAGCUUCCACUAUAUUCUCCUAGAGAUUAAGCUUGAGCAGAGAAUAGUAACCGUCUUAGACUUGAGACGAAAAGAUCCCAAGGAGUAUGCGGACAUGACUGAAAUUCUACAGAAGUAAGUUAAAUCGGUCAUUAUCGCACCAUAUCGGCAACUUUGUUCAUUUCCUGAUAUCAAGUAAUUGUUUUCUUUGUCUGACAGGGUUUCGAAAAAAUUCACCUCAAAGACUUCGGGACUGCCGAAGAAGGUGCAAUUUAGACACCCGAAAGUAAGUACUAUAGUAGCAUGUUCCACGCAUCUCCUAGUGAUUCAAGCGCUAGUUUCAUCAAUACCAUUUAGCAUGCUUGCUAACUAUCAGUUUGAUUGACCUCUAUUUCUUGUAAAAAUGGUUGUGGCAGGAACGAGGGAAUGAUUACUGUGGAUACUACAUUUGCGAGUCCAUCCGCCAUACGACCUGUGAGCGGGGCUACUCUGACAAACAAUAUGAAGUGCAUAAAUAAUAAUAUUCACAAUUUUAUUUUAUUACCAUCAUUUGUGUUCAGUUUCAUUUAUUCAUAUAUAUGUAUUGACCCCCUUCUUCAAAUUAGAUAUUUCGGAUGCGGGAUGAACUCCUACCACCAGAUCGUAUGCGAGGAAUUCAAGAGGAAUUGGCGGCAUUCUUUCUUGACCACGUGAUCGCUAAACACGGAGAAUACCAUGUGGACCCUAAUCAGUUGGUUUUUAAUUAGGAGAUUAUAUUGUAAGAGAUAAUUAUAUUGUAUAUAUGUAGCCAGUAGCGUCGGAUAGAUAUACGAGAACUUGUUGUUCGACCAAUCUCUCAGAGAAGGAGAGGUGGUCGAUAUCACUUCUCUCUGUAUGCAUAUGUUCAUGACGAUCUUCUGUUUCCUUCAUUUGCUUACUAGCUGGCGUGUCUAGUCCUCUCUAUAUGUAUAGUACGUAGCGUCGACCAAGCAUGGAGAUAAGAGAGGACACUUCUCUCUAUUAAUUAGCUAGCUAACACAAUAUAUGAAACACCUAAAUUAACCCCCCAAAACCCCCUACCCCCCCCNCACCAACCGGGACCAAAGGGCCUCCUGCCUGGGCUCGCCGCACCGACCACGUGGAGGCCCAUCUGUCCCGGUUCGUGUAAGAACCGGGACUAAAGGCUAAGGGCAUUAGUAACGACCUUUUUGUCCCGGUUCCGAAACCGGGACAGAAGGCCCUUACGGACCGGGACAAAAGGCCUUUUUUCUACUAGUGGGGAGCUUCGGCGUUGGUUUGUCCCUGGAAAGGCGACGCUGAGGGGGCGGCGCGCGGGCGCGAGGAGACAUGGUCGAGGAGGCACAGGGUGCGGUGAUACAACCAAGUCAACGCAGCAGCGGCUCCAGGCGAUGCAAGGAAACGACGGGAUCUGGUGCAGGAGCCCGAGGCGGACAAGAUCCGCAGCGAGGGGCAGGUUCUGGCGGCGGAGGGCUGGAUCCGGUUAAUGGCGGCGAGGUACACGCGAGCAGCGGUGUGCAGCGGUCCGAGGCAGAUAGGAUCCGCGUCCAGGGGCAGGUUCUGACGAGACAGGCGAGGUUUGGGACACCGUCGAAGCCCACUUCAGUAGGAAGGCAACAGACUAGCGCCCAGUCCCCACUUCACGGCAGGGGCGACCUGAGACGAGAGUCGAGAAUUUGAUACUUUUUCUGGCCGACCGCUCCUACGCUGCGCUACACACAUCUUGUACCCCCUCCGUUCCAUAAUAUAAGCUUUUUAGAGAUUUCACUAGAAGACCACAUACGGAUGUAUAUAGACAUGUUUUAGAGUAUAGAUUCACUCAUUUUGCUCUGUGUGUAGUCUCUUAGUGAAAUUGAUUAAAAGACUUAUAUUUAAGAACGGAGGGAGUACUUGGCUAACUCCCGUCGCCUACAACCGUCACUGCCGGCGGAUCUUCUCUAAUUGGGGGGUCUCAAUCUUUACUUCCCCUACCCAGUAGGAUUGCCAUGCGUAUCACACAACAGAUCGGGAUACAGAAGGCGUCGUUUCCCUGAUGCUCCAGUAAAGGAUUUUGCUGAAGUAGCUAAAGCUUUAGCAGUAAGACACCCUCUGAACGUAAUUCAUCUCCUCUGUGAUAUCCGUAUACACAACAAACAGUCUCUAUCUGCAGGCCGCAGUGAAUUGCAGCGCCUCAAGAACUGUUCAGCAUUAGAUUUCCAAGAUUACUGUGCCGGUGCACCACCGUUCAUGAGAGGAGUGAGCACGAGUAACAACGUCAUAUUCCGCUUGCUCCGCGUCCGAGCAUUGUCGGAGUUCAAUUCCGAGCAAGAAAAACACUUGUGCUGAGCUGUUUCGAGCCACGGCACCAGCAGUCGUCUGGCCUGUGCUGAGAAGGAAGGAAAUGCCCGUGUUGAGUUUAACAUGGCCAUUAGCUGUCCUUUUUCUUUAUUGAAGAGAACAUUCCUUUCCUCAUCGAGUUCAAGUAUUGCAUUUGGCCCAUUUGCUGCUUUCCUUUGUCAAUUGUCACCGGUGGCAGUACACGCUUUAUCUCAGGUAUCGGUCCAGUAGCUCAAUAAAAAUUCCAGAUGCACCGCUCGUUUCCUUCAGGAUUUUUAGGCUCUGCGCUAUGAUGAGAUAACAUCUUAAAAUACACAUCUUGUGAUUUUUAUCAUCAAGCAAUCUCCGCUCUUGGUUUCCACUUUAUUAUGAAUCAUGACAAAUUAAAAUUAAUAAAGGAAAUACAUGGCUGUUGCGUUCUACUUGCUCUUGACAUUUUCUGAACUGCACAUGUUCUCGUAUUUUUCUUAUGUCCUGCUUAAUUAAUAUGCAAGCGGAAGCUUUCUUCCCUGUGUUGUUACUCCUUAUGGCUUUAGCUGGUAGAUAAAGACAUGAAUUAUUAGCAAUUCAUCGUGGCAAUCUGGAUCAUUGUCAUUAGUGUUUGCUCCAUAGCAAAGCACGAGUUGUGGCGCAAACCAAACAAUGCAUAGAUUUCUUGGCUGUAUUACAUAGAUGGUCUAGUUGCAAGCACAUUUCUCCUAACUCAUUAGGCUAAGGGACUGGUAUGAUUUUUUUUCCCGUUGCAACGCACGGACAUAUUUACUAGUCAAUGAAAAAGAGCAGAGGUGCUCAAUCGCCCAUCGCUUGUGCAUGCAUGCACUAAGCGGCAAAAUUGAAUCACGGUAUGCAUCUAUGACCUGCCAAAAAAGCUAGUCAACCAGAUCUAUUUAAUAUAUGUAGCCAAUUCAGAUACAAGCACUUAUGCACAAACAGACAAUACAACAAUUGAAAUGUCUCAAAUCUCAUGUAAAAUCAUUGGGCACACCCGAGAUCUUACCCAGCCAAAUCCCCCACUAAAUAAGGUGUCACCUCCUCAUUGGCCUGAUUAACCCUGCAAAAAAAAAGUCAAAAAAAAAACACAAAAAAGAAACCUAGCUAGGUUUAGUAUAGUUAGAAUGUAUCUACCCUCGGUGCUUCGCAUGUCAAGCUUGAAAUGAACCCAUCUUAUAAGCCAAGAUCCGCGUUUUCUAUAAAAGUAAUCAUUCCGUGCUUCUUACAUUGGUCUAGACACCACUAGGAAAAAGCAACGUUGCAAGGGCUUGAACAAGCAUAAUCGUGUUGCAUGAGUUGGCAUUCUUAUUGAUGGAGUAUGAUGGAUUCAGAAUAUUUGUUUCUAGUCUAAAUCCAAGUUUCAAGAUGAUAUGCAGAAAAACAGUGAAGGAUGAUUGCAUGAAAGCAUUUAAGGAAGAGAAGCGAAUACUGCAAGGGAUGUUCCAAAACUCCAGAUCCAAGAUUUCUUUGUCUACGGACUUGUGGACAUCAAAUCAGACAGUCGGGUACAUUUGCAUCACAACUCACUUCAUUGACGAGGAAUGGAAGCCGCAGAAGAGGAUAGUUAAAUUAGCAGCUAUGGAGACGCCGCACACAGGUGCUGCAAUGUUCAACAUCAUGGUAUAUAUUGUAAGAGAGUGGAACAUUGAAGAUAAUUUGUUUGCUGUGACACUCGUCAAUGCAUCCAACAAUGGUGCAAUGAUGAAGCUAUUGAGGAAACAUCUGCUCCUUAAUAAUAUGUUAGUUGGUGGUGACAAGCUGUUUCACCAACGGUGUGCCGUCCAUGUCAUAAAUCUGAUAUGUCAAGCAGGAUUGAACUUCCUUGGUCCAAUGAUCAAUCUGAUACGUGAAAGUGUGAAAUAUAUUCGAAGCUCGCCGAGUCGAAAGGAAAAAUUUCAAGAGAUCAUUCAACAACAUGGUGUACAAUGUAGGAAAACUCCAAGUAUUGAUGUUCCAACUCGAUGGAACUCAACCUACAUGAUGAUUGAUAUAGCAAAGAGUAUCGUGGAGUGUUUGACUCAUUGACCGUUCAAGAUAAACAAUAUACCUUCCAGCCAUCUUUUGAGGAUUGGGAAAAUGUCGAAGAUGUUUGCAGACUGCUGAAGGUAUUUUAUGAAGCCACCAAUUUGAUAUCCGACACAAAAUAUCCAACUUCUAACUUGUAUUUCCAUGAAAUGUGGAAAGUGAAGCUGGCAUUAGAGCAACAACAUUAUGAAGAGGAUUCUCACAUGGGCACAACAGUCAAAUAUAUGAAGAGAAAAUUCAAAAGGUAUUGGAAGUUGUCAUGGUUGAGCCUCUGUAUUCCCGUGAUUUUGGACCCACAAUUCAAGUUGAAAUAUAUUGAGUUUCGAUUUGGCCUGGAGUUUGGGAAUGAAGCUGCAACAAUGAUUGCUAAAAUAAAAAACGUGUUCCAAGGGUUGUUCAAGUAAUACCUCCAAUUAAAUGACAAUUUCUCAGAUCCUAUGGCUGAUUGGGACCAACAUGCACUACAAGAAAAAUGCUCAAUUAUGACCCAAAAAAUGACGGUGGUUUAAUUGGUCAUUGAUCCAUGACCAAAAUUCUGAAAUUAGUCAUGGCAAGUCUAAGAGGGUCCAAUGCCCAUAACGUUAUGACCUUUUGCGUUCAUUUGGUCAUGAUACUAUUACAUAAAUUGGUCAUUAAGUGCUACCGAUUGGAAAAAAAAUGAUAGAGGUAUGUUGUAUGAGGGGAGGGUUUUGGAGCGUUGGAUGUAGUAGAAGUGGAUGGCCAGGAUCUGUUUCUAGGGAGGGAUCCGUGGCCUCGCAUGUGAUAGGCUCGCUGGUAAUGCCCACGUCGACGACCCAUCCCUAGCCCCCCGUUCCCCUAUUCCCCUCUGUCGAUCUCCCUCUCCCUCGUCUGCUGCCGCCGCCACCACUCACCCGCGCCAUCCCCCAUAGCCUCAGCCACCGCCGCCAGCGCGUUCCCCCACAACGUGUGCCCCACCACUUCCCCCCUCGCCUUAUCCCCACCACCGGCGGCCUCCUCACCUCCUACUUGACCAAGAUCGAGCAGCCGGUUCAGAUCCACAUCCAUGGUGGUGUGAGCGCCCCGAUGUGCAUGUUCAAGCCGUGUGAAGAUGGUGCUCGCCGCGGCUCUCACCCUGGUGCCAUCAUCUCGCCCUUUCACUUGCCUGAGUAUAAACAAACCCACCCCAACCCCACCCCGCAUCGCCUUGCCGCACUGCAAACCAUCGAGCGCAGGGACACCUAGCAAAGGAGCACGCGCCAACCUCGUCGUCGAAACCCCGGCCCCUUUCUCCCCGGGCCGGCCGGAACCACCCGGCGCGCGGCCAUGCCGGCGGAGGUCGCGGGCACCCGGAAGCGCGGGGCGGCCUCCUUCCUAGACGACCCUUUCGAGGUGCUGCAGGCGAAGCGGGGCCGGUGCUCGCCGUCCGCCGCUGCGGUCACGGUCGCCGACCUCGGAAUCAGCAUGGAGUUCGACUCCGUCGAGGCGCUCCAGUCCGUCUUCCCCGAAGCCGACCCGCAGGUACCCGCCCCCACCGCUGCGCCGCGCCUCUUGUUCUUUUGAUUGCUAGAUAGGUCGUGCGCAGGCAUACAGAGCUCAUCGACUCAGUUCAUCGCAAGAACCAGUUGAACCUGAUUACAGAAUCACUGUUUCGCCUUUCACCUUUCACUCAGCUUUCUGACGCUCUCUGUUUCGCCUUUCACCUGCAGGUUCCGUUGCCGGAGGCGGCCGAGCCCACAACACCGGGCACCGGAUUUGAAGUGGCAUUUAAAUUGUGAUAUUUGGUGAAAAUAUAAUGUAAUUUUUCCAUGAAUAGUCUUGAUUUCAGCACAUAGAAAACACUAAUGGUUUGGGUUCAUCCUAUAAGUAUUAACGUUUAUGAUAUAGAUUGUAGAAUUUUCCUAAUAUUUACCAUGUGAGAAUGUCUAAGUGUGAGCAAAUAUAUGUGGGUGUAUUUUAUUGGUAUGCCUAUUGUGUUUCAUAUGUAUUGUUCUUUAUUGAGUCAAUUGGGAAAUCCUUGCUUCUUUUAAUAUUAAUAAUACAAAUAGGUGCCUUCAAUUAUGCUACUACCAUAGAACUGUAAGGUGGUUUAUCUUGUCUGUCCCUUAUUCCAGGCUCUUGGGCACGCUUCAAUUACUUUGGAAUUGUUGAGAAUCAUCUACUAUCAUGUGUACUAACUGUGUAAGUACUUUGGAGAAACAUGACACAAUUUGGAGUGUCAUGGCUUCCAAUGUUAAAAUUCAGCUUUGAAUGGUUUUCAACAAGAAACUUCUUGCUCGCAAAGAGGUGAUUCACUGUUUUAUUUGUUCCAUUUGAUAUUCAGCUUGUGGUCCUGCAUCCAGUUUGUUUCUCAUGCCUAAUAUGUCUUAUGUGCGUUUACACAUCCGUUGGUUAAAUAAAAAUAUAUUGUACGCAUUACUCAGUACAAGGAAAGUUUGUGUGCGUUCUGAUUUAGUUGCUUCUACUACCAAGUUGUCUUCUCCGGCAAUUUUUUUUCCGUGUUCUAGAUCAUGUUGUAGUUUAGUUGGCCCGACGCCACCAGUUUAGCUGGCCCGGCGCCUUGUGCGCUCACUUUCGUCUUGCCAAGGUUAUGUCUUCCUCCUUCAUCCUUCUUUACUUUUUCUCAUUUCAUAUGCAGUAUUUUACUGAAUUGUGUGUGUUCCGUGUGUUGUGUCCUUUCUUCCUUACUAUUACUUAUUGUUGCUUGUUGUAUUUAUACCUUGUGUCCCGCUUAUCGUUGUCUCAUUGCUUUGUAUACCCCGGAUGGGUGCUGUCAUAUAUUUUUUCAUACCUAUUCUAGAAACCAUGGCAAAAAAUAUAUACUUAGACACAUAUCACUACUUUGUAUACCGAGGAUAAGAGCAGGAUAUGUGUUGUCAUAUCAUUGCUUUGUAUACUCAGGAUGUGUGCACUAGCUCUACCAAACUCACUUUCUUGCUUUCCUUUUUGUUGAAAGAACUGUGAGCUUAGUCCCCUUAGUCCUGAACCGUGGUCCUGAACCUGCACUAACUAUACUAAUCUUUAGUUUCACUUCAUUAUAUCACUCUAUUUUGAAUGGCUACAGUUUCAAGCUACCUCUGUAUUGAUGUGUAUAUGUUGUCGAGAGGAUCCAAUUUAAGUACUAUAAUGUAGCCAAUUAUUUCUUGGACGUCGUAAACUUACACCUUCAUUCUAUUUUUAUUUUAGUCUUUUGUUGAGUACAUUUAGAUAUAAUUAGAAUCGCAGUAGCUUUUUGCUAACAUCUAAGGCCCUUUUUAAAUAGUUUGAUUUGGUGAGAAUGGAAUGUCUUUUGCCCGAGAGAGUGCUCUUCCUUGAAGCAACAGAAAACAUAGAUGAUUUUGGUUUCAUCCUUUAUUUUUAUUUUCUUUCUGCACCUUUUGCUGACAUUAUAUAGUUCAGCCGAUCUAUUGUGCUUAAUCAUCUUAUGUUGGUUGCUAUUAGUAUGUGGGAUAUGCAUCAAUGGAAUGAGGAGAGGAAGCCCCGAUCCUUCUACGACAUGUGAUUAUGUUAUGAGCAGAGGAAGCCCCGAUCCUUCUACGAUAUGUGGAGGGAACAAGAAGCUUCAUUUAUCAUUGAUGUUAUGUGUGAUCAACAAAAACUUGUGUUUCUCAUCCAAUCUUUGUCGAACUAUGUUGAUGUGUGAUUAUGCACUUAUAGAAUUAUAUUGUUGUGCACUUGUUGGGCCUUGAACCUUUAUGUGUAGAGGAGUCGAUGGAUGAUGUAUUGUAAUUCAUGUGAUGUGUUACUGAAAUGUAAUAUAUACAACUAAUUUGCAAUAUUUUAUUCUUGUGUACUUGUUUUUUAAUGGGUCUAUCUUGAGAUAUACAUGCUUUUGGUAAAAUAAUGCAUCAGCCUAAAUAAUUUAUACAUUUUUAAUAAUAAAAUAGUAUUGGUGGAGGCCCAUGUAGACUAGAUUAUUGAAUUGGGCUGUGAAAUUUAUGAUGAUUUCAUUUGGUCACUAGCAAUGCCAUGUCAGCACAGCCACGUCAGAUCCUACGUGGCUCACACAAAUAGGUAAUGACCAAACCAAAACUUUGGUCAAUAGAGAUCUAUGACCAAAAUUUUAGAAAGGUCAAGUUUGUUCAUUCUUGACGGCCAACUGUUGACCUUGUAAAUUUGGUCAAAAAAGUCAAUAAACAACAACAAUGACGAAUCAAUGACCAAUAUAGGGAGUCAUAAUUGACAUUAUUUCUUGUAGUGAUGUCACCCUCACUGCUCGAUCAACAAUUUUGGAUUCUACCGAACUAGAUUCAUACUUGUCAAAGGUACCCGUCCGUCGAAGUGAUCAAUUCAAUAUCCUUGCAUGGUGGCAGACGAACUCAACCGAAUAUCCAAAAUUGAGUCGCAUGGCAUCAGAUAUCUUGGCGGCCCCUGCCUCUUCGGUGGCAUCUGAGUCCGCCUUCAGCACAGGGAAGAGAGUCCUCUCAGAUUUUCGAAGUUGAAUGGCACCAACGACACUUGAAGCUCUUGUUUGCCUACAAGAUUGGAUAAGAGCCACCGGUAAAGCCAUACGACACAAGUUUAUCCUUUGUUUCUUAUUAAUGCAAAUUCAUGAAUCUUUUAUUUUUAUUUUUCUGCAGCUAAUACUCGGCUUAGCUUGGCUUCAUUUCAUGACAUUAUACUGGACUUGCAAGGUAUUUGACAUGUCUUUGUCUUAGCGAUCUAGAAUGAUGUUUGCUAGAUAAACACAAUGACUAGUACAGCUGCUUAGUUGGUCUGGUGGUGAUUGUGCUAUGCUACUGAACUCAAAUGGCACAAGUGUUUGAUUCAUCAGAUUACACACUUGCACAUGAGUUGAUUCAGCAGUUUCAUUUUACUUUAUAUACAAGUUUUCCUGCACAUGAGUUUGAUUGUUCAGACUAUUUUUUCUAAAAAAUUGUUGGCUUGCAUACGCAAAUUUUGCUUACACAUGAGUUGAAUCAGAAUUUUGAGUUCAGUAGCAUAGCACAUGAGUUGUUCAAGCAUUGCCCGCAGAUGAAUCAAAUUGUCCACCGACUGUUUUUCUUAAAAACCGACCAGACUGUACAAGGUGCAGUUCACUUUCUAAGUCCUCUACUGCUGGUUUCGGAAUCUAAUUGUAGGACGGAACUGGAAUGAUAAACCACCAACUAUGUUCUUUGUGUAUACAUCAGUCUUUGUGCAUGAACUGAAGUGACCAGCAGCUUGUCCAUCAGUCUUUGUUUUCAAAUUUUGUUCAUAAAUUUGCACAUAAUUACUCUUGUAACAUUUCCUUGUAAAUACAAACAAUGAGGAUUGAAGCUUUUUGCGGCAAUUGAUGUUAACCUUCAGUAGAUGAUGAAGCAAAAAGAUGCCAACUUUCUCUAUAAUAUGUUGAAGUUUUGAAAUGUAAUUGUUGCUCCUUGAAAGACGUAGCUAGAUGCUCAUAAAACCUGUAACAUCGUCAACAAAUGUGAUUGUCUUGUACUGGCUGUGAAAAUAUUUGAAAAUGGGCUGAUGCUUCCUUGGUAACUUCUAUUUAUUUCAUAUUAUUAUGCUUGUUUAAGUAAUUAUUUGUUGUCUUGUAAUAAUGUCAGUUAGAAAAUGUUCUCUGUGUAUACAUAGCUAAAAAACUGUGGAACUAUAGCUGACUUUUGGAUCGGCCCUGGUGUACCCAAUGGGCCAACAAGGCCACAUGAUUUUGUUAGAAUGGGUCGACCCAUGGCCCCUGAAAUUGGCAUUGAGGCCACGGGGCCAGGUCCGGGCCGGCCCAUUCCCAUCUUGAAUUACUUUCCAAAAAGCCACCAAGAAGGGAUGAAACCGAAUCCAAAAAGGUCUACCGCAUAAAUGAUCUGAUUUUUUGGUAAGACAAGCAAUAGGCAGCUAUGAAUCAAGUACAUCUUACUUUGUGCUAAUUGGUGGUUUUGAGCUAGGAAAUGUACUCUUUUCUUAGGUAAGCUAAGAAAUGUACUCAUAAGAUAAGACAAGCAACGGUAACCUAAAAAUCCAACUACAACUUAUUCAGUAAUUUUCACUUGCCACUAGAAAAAUCAACAACAAUGCGUAUACAAAUUUCAAUGAAAGAACACGAAGGAAUAUAAUUUACAAUGGAAAACACCAAAAGAUGCAACCAAAAUAAAAGGAAAAUAUAAACAACAGAUCAAGUAGCCAAUGGAAUGCAAGAUAUGCAGACAAACAUAGAAUAUUUUCAAGUUUCAACAAGUCUGACCUCAAACGUCUGUUGUUUUGACACAUAGGGUUUACAGAUUACAAAAAAAAAAUAACACCCAAGGGGUACUUAGUUAGGAGAUAAUAAAACGCACAAUCCAGCAAGGGGUGUCUUCUUCAUUUAUUUCUGUGGUGGCAAGUUCUUAGGAGCAAAGAACACCCUCACAUCAAAUUGGCCAUACUUUGACAUCGAGUCAUCAGGAAUCCUAACAGGUCCAACAUGUCCAUCCUGGAAAGUCCACCGAAAGAGUGAUUCCCCCAACUUUAAGCAAACAUCCAAUUUUUCAUUUGCUUUCACCACGACUACAUGCUGAAACUGCAUCUUAGUCACAGAGAAUGUGUCAUCAAACAACACAAUCUCAUGAUCAAAGCCACUGCUGAAAGCACCAAAUCUCACAUGAUGAGGACCGUCAACCUUUGCAAAGACUUCUAUUACGGCCUCGAUACCGCUUGUAAAUGGUAUGUAGCCGAUGUCCAAGCUGAACAGGCCACUACAAAUCCGUCCAUAUAGCAUUUCAUCACAACCUGGGCAACUCUCAAUCUCAGUAUACGCAGAAAGUAUUUGUUUGUCAGUCGACCCAUCCCCUUCAUCCUUUACCCACAGAUCAAUUUCUACUAAUACAUCCAGCCGUAAGUACAUUCCUCGACAAGGGCUACAAAGAGGUAGGAUGAAGGAAUCCUACAAUUUGACAACUCUGGUUAGAACUAAACAUGCUACACUUUCAGAUACAUUAGCCUGUGCGAACAUAUAACAAACUAAAUAAGGUAAUGCACAUCAUGUUUAAAUAAAAAAACUAGUUCCUUUUAAAAGUACAAGGCAUAUAUUCCACUUGUGUUGAAAUGCAAGACAUGCAUGACAUUUUCUCUCUUCUACCAUCAUUUAUAUAUCUUGCCAACCGCUUCAACUUUUAUAACUGUUCCAAAACAUUAGUAUAUACUGUAGGAACAUUGGGGAUCAAAGUAUAGUUAACAUGUAUUUCACACUGUUCCAAAUACCGGUCAGUUAACUGCUAUUCGGAUCCCACCGAUAUGAGAACGUGCUAGUCGAGCCAUUAACUGGUAGGUCGAGUUAACUUGUCUGACAAGCCGAUAUAUCUGCCGUCAGGCUGAAUUAUUGGCCGGGCCAAUUAACUGGUAGGCAUUUUGUAGCCCAAAACUGGCCCGUUCCCUCCCUACUUUUUAAUGUGCAGGUUUAUGGCCUUCCAGAUCGGCUGCAACAUCAUCAGAACAUCAAGGCAACAAUUUUCCAUGUUGCUAUGUAGCCUAGGAUUGCAUAUUUAGACAUAUAGUACAUUGCAUGUUGUUAUAUAGCCUAGGAUAUAUAGUAUUGCCCUAGUUAACCUACCUAUAAAUGGGCUACCGAUAAUUUCAGUUAAAUGGCCGAUUCGCCGAUUAAUCCCUACUCAGCACCCAACCGAUAUGGUACCACUUACCAAUAUCCUGAACAUUGGUAUUUCAAAAUGGGUUCACCCCCGAAAAACAGAGGUCUUAAGCACAAA